GAGUUUGAUCGUGGCUCAGAUUGAACGCUGGCGGCAUGCCUUACACAUGCAAGUCGAACGGCAGCAUGAUCUAGCUUGCUAGAUUGAUGGCGAGUGGCGAACGGGUGAGUAAUACAUCGGAACGUGCCCUGUAGUGGGGGAUAACUAGUCGAAAGAUUAGCUAAUACCGCAUACGACCUGAGGGUGAAAGUGGGGGACCGCAAGGCCUCAUGCUAUAGGAGCGGCCGAUGUCUGAUUAGCUAGUUGGUGGGGUAAAGGCCCACCAAGGCGACGAUCAGUAGCUGGUCUGAGAGGACGAUCAGCCACACUGGGACUGAGACACGGCCCAGACUCCUACGGGAGGCAGCAGUGGGGAAUUUUGGACAAUGGGCGAAAGCCUGAUCCAGCAAUGCGCGUGUGUGAGAAGGCCU
rnacentral:rRNA from 1 species